GUUAGUGAUGUCAGUGAGCAGGAGGAUUACAGAAAGUAAACACCUCAUUCGGUUCAGUCAUCAGGCCUGGAAGUCAGAAACAGUCGAGGAGACAACAUGAAAGAUGAUACAUAACAAAUUGCUGAGUGACCCAAAAAGUAGAAACAACAACAGGUCAUAUGAGAAGGUAUUUUUGCUAAGAAUUAAUAAAAGAUGGAGUCCAAAAUGCCCACUUGAACAAAGACAGGAUAUGGGUCACUGUUCACCAUCCAAGGUGUCCUCAUCCUGUCAUAUCCUCUCUCCUCGACUCCACACCAUCAAAAAGCUGCUUCUCACAAGAACUUGGGGUUGUGAAAAGGAAGAGAGGACGGAAAGGAAGAGAGCAGGCAUCACACAGCCAAGGAAGUGCAGGCUUCACGCGUCCAUGACCAGUGUCAUUGGCAUCAGCACUGAAACAUCAACAGUGUAACUGCCAUUCUCCCCUCCCCGGUUCCAGCAGUGGACGGGGGGUUCGGUAGCUCAGAUGGGCUUUCAAGCAUCCCUCAUCCCAUUCUUAACUGUUUCUACAAAGAAGAGCCAAAGCUUGUUGGGACUGCUGCCAUAGUUCACAUCAGUCUGGAAUCAUUUCAUCCAUCCUUUGACGGUGUGCAUGAGGGAAGAUGGCUGUAACUUCCAAAAGAGUGAAAAGGAUUUGGUGGUUGACUUUCCGAGGCAUCAAAGGAUCGCCCUCAACAGAGGAAGCGUGGAGUCCUAACCACUGGACCGCCAGGUAAUUCCCACGAUGCACCUGAUCAUGGAAGAAGAGGGAUGUCGGAACGUGGCGACAACACACACUGCAUAGGCUGAGCGAAAUUGACCGACGUCUUCAAGAGGAGGCUUGGACGUUUAGACUUUAUCCACAGAUUAAGAAGGGCAACAAACUUUGAAACAGCAAGGCCCAAGUCUGGAUACAGAAGGACCUCAGAACACUGCCACCUUCAAUCUCCCAAAGCUACAGUCUAUGGAAAACCAGUAAACCUGUUAAGCAAGAGGACAACUGCCCCCUGACCCCACCACCUUAUUUACAGCUGGUUUGCUUUCCCUCAGCCACUGUUUUUAACAGCCAUGACACUAACUCUCUUAUUCUUUCAUUGACUAGAUUACUCCUUCGCACCUGCUGUGAUGCGUGCAUAGCAGUGGGUUUGAAGGAUGCAAAAUCAAAGGCACAGAUCCAUUAUCAAGGUUAUUCACACAUGCAACUCUCUAGGACAUAAGAACCAUAAGCAGGUCAUCUUCAAGAGUACACUGUGGUGAAGGGGAUGCCAAAAAGGAAGUAGCUUUUCAAAUUAUGACUACCUAAUGCAAGUUGCUUAAAUCUAAUCCGUGUGAUUCUGUUUAGAGCGUUUUGUAGCAAAGCAAGCUGCCUAUUCUGGGUGUCUAAUAUAUUCAGCUCCUUAACUCCUCUGGCAGACUCUCACUUGUAACUCAAGACCCAACUCAACGUCAUCUCUACUGUGAGGUUUUCCAUUUCCCCCAUGGUUCAGCGAAACAUUCCUCUGGAUUCGCAUCACACAUGGAAUGUGUAUUUAGUAGCAUCAUUAUUAGCAUUGUGUUUCUGUUUGCAUCUCACAGUUUCUGACUAACCACUGGCUUUUUUGAGGGAAACGCCUACAUCCGAGUCUCAAUUUUACUCCCAGGACACAGCACAUUGUCUGGAUCACACUGGGCCCUUAAGAAUCAUCGAAUGAAUGGGCCACUGGAUAAACGAUGCUAUCAAUUAAGAAGGAAAUGGAGUAAGACAAACGUACACAACAGUCCCAAUCUCACUUACAUCACCACGAGUGGCUUUAAGGAUAUCUCGCUAACUGUCCUCAUUAUAGUCUAUGUAGAACAAAUGACUCUUAUCAAGUAAAUCUGAUUACUAGUGACAUGGACAGCACAGGUCAGAAGAAUGGUCUGAUGUUAUUAGCGUUUGGAUUCAUUCAGAGAAAUGAUUACAAUCACACGGUAGAUCACUUACUCAGCCUUCCUCUAGGCUGGACCAUAAUUUCUUGAAGCUAUUCCUCACUAUCUAUAGUUCAAGAACUCUGGGGAGAAUACUGUAAGUUCUAACUGUAGGCUACCAAAAAUCCAAAGUAUACCCCAAAUGCAAAAGGCUGAUUUCAUUAGGUAAGAAAUGUACUCAUUUCCUGGUUCAAUGAAAAUGUCUACCAAGUAAAGUCCUUGCAUUGUCAAAUGACCUUUUAUCAACAGCUAUUCAUAACUUUUAAAUUCUCUUCAAUUUUUAUGUUGCUUCUUGGUUGACAGACAGUAUUAUAAAUGACACUGGUAUCCAUAGCUAUCUCUAAGUGGACAGGGACAUUAUACUAGGAGACCUUCUUUGUCAGAGAAGAAAUCUUUGAGAUGCCUGUGUAACUGGAAGAAAACCAAAGAACAGCACAUUGAUUCUAAAACCCCAAGAUCCUCCUACAUAGAGAUUUUUAAAUUAUUUUAAAAUUUGAAACAUGUAAUUCAUAUUACAUGGAACCAUCAGGCUCUCAAAUGCACGUGUUAAAAAAAGAAAUGUAACAGGGCUCGUGGUCUAGUCUCCUUCUAAGUUUCUCAAACCUUUGGUCUUGCCUGAUGUUUUUGAAACCUCUAUUAGUUUAUUAGUUUGACAGAAGCCCAGGUAAUUAUGUCGGCUUCUGAGUCCUUCUGUAAGUCACGUCUGCCUCUCCCUGAACACGCACAAAACCCAGUGCCACCGCUGCACUUCUCAAAACAAAUAAAAGAUUUGUGAACUAGU